GACGAACGCUGGCGGCGUGCUUAACACAUGCAAGUCGAACGAAGAGCGAUGGAAGCUUGCUUCUAUCAAUCUUAGUGGCGAACGGGUGAGUAACGCGUAAUCAACCUGCCCUUCAGAGGGGGACAACAGUUGGAAACGACUGCUAAUACCGCAUACGAUCUAAUCUCGGCAUCGAGGAUGGAUGAAAGGUGGCCUCUACAUGUAAGCUAUCACUGAAGGAGGGGAUUGCGUCUGAUUAGCUAGUUGGAGGGGUAACGGCCCACCAAGGCGAUGAUCAGUAGCCGGGCUGAGAGGAAGAACGGCCACAUUGGGACUGAGACACGGCCCAGACUCCUACGGGAGGCAGCAGUGGGGAAUCUUCCGCAAUGGACGAAAGUCUGACGGAGCAACGCCGCGUGAGUGAUGACGGCCUUCGGGUUGUAAAGCUCUGUUAAUCGGGACGAAAGGCCUUCUUGCGAAUAGUGAGAAGGAUUGACGGUACCGGAAUAGAAAGCCACGGCUAACUACGUG
rnacentral:rRNA from 1 species